CAGGCUGCUGCAACUGUUUAUUAAAAACACAGCACUCUGCAAACACGAAAGUGGACGUAUAGGGUGUGAUGCCUGCCCGGUGCUGGAAGGUUAAUUGAUGGGGUUAGCGUAAGCGAAGCUCUUGAUCGAAGCCCCAGUAAACGGCGGCCGUAACUAUAACGGUCCUAAGGUAGCGAAAUUCCUUGUCGGGUAAGUUCCGACCUGCACGAAUGGCAUAAUGAUGGCAGCGCUGUCUCCAGCAGAGACUCAGUGAAAUCGAAAUCGCAGUGAAGAUGCUGUGUACCCGCGGCUAGACGGAUAGACCCCGUGAACCUUUACUACAGCUUUACAUUGAACUUUGACCUAACUUGUGUAGGAUAGGUGGGAGGCUUUGAAGCAGAUACGCCAGUAUUUGUGGAGCCAACCUUGAAAUACCACCCUGGUUAUGUUGGGGUUCUAACUUAGAUAUAACAGUAUCAAGGACAAUGUAUGGUGGGUAGUUUGACUGGGGCGGUCUCCUCCUAAAGAGUAACGGAGGAGUACGAAGGUGCGCUCAGAACGGUCGGAAAUCGUUCAAAGAGUAUAAAGGCAAAAGCGCGCUUAACUGCGAGACCCACAAGUCGAGCAGGUACGAAAGUAGGUCUUAGUGAUCCGGUGGUUCUGUAUGGAAGGGCCAUCGCUCAACGGAUAAAAGGUACUCUGGGGAUAACAGGCUGAUACCGCCCAAGAGUUCAUAUCGACGGCGGUGUUUGGCACCUCGAUGUCGGCUCAUCUCAUCCUGGGGCUGAAGCAGGUCCCAAGGGUAUGGCUGUUCGCCAUUUAAAGAGGUACGCGAGCUGGGUUUAGAACGUCGUGAGACAGUUCGGUCCCUAUCUACCGUGGGCGUUGGAAAUUUGAGAGGAUCUGCUCCUAGUACGAGAGGACCAGAGUGGACGAACCUCUGGUGUUUCGGUUG
rnacentral:rRNA from 1 species